GAUGAACGCUGGCGGCGUGCCUAAUACAUGCAAGUCGAGCGAACAGACGAGGAGCUUGCUCCUCUGACGUUAGCGGCGGACGGGUGAGUAACACGUGGAUAACCUACCUAUAAGACUGGGAUAACUUCGGGAAACCGGAGCUAAUACCGGAUAACAUGUUGAACCGCAUGGUUCAACAGUGAAAGACGGUUUUGCUGUCACUUAUAGAUGGAUCCGCGUCGCAUUAGCUAGUUGGUAAGGUAACGGCUUACCAAGGCAACGAUGCGUAGCCGACCUGAGAGGGUGAUAGGCCACACUGGAACUGAGACACGGUCUCGAAGCCUACGGGAGGCAGCAGUAGGGAAGCUGACGCAAUAGGCGAAAGCCUGACGUAGCAACGAAGCGUGAGUGAAGAAGAUCUUCGGAUCGUAAAACUCUGUUAUUAGGGAAGAACAAAUGUCUAAGUAUAUAUGCACGUAUUGACGGUACCUAAUCAGAAAGAAACGGCUAACUCCGUU
rnacentral:rRNA from 1 species